rnacentral:rRNA from 1 species
GACGAACGCUGGCGGCGCGCUUAACACAUGCAAGUCGAACGGUGAAGCGCCUUCCUUUUUGGUGGGUGUGGAUGAGUGGCGAACGGGUGAGUAACACGUGAGUAACCUGCCCCCUUCUUCUGGAUAACCGCAUGAAAGUGUGGCUAAUACGGGAUAUUCUGGGUCUGUCGCAUGAUGGGUCUGGGAAAGAUAUUGUUUCGGUGGGGGAUGGGCUCGCGGCCUAUCAGCUUGUUGGUGGGGUGAUGGCCUACCAAGGCGGUGACGGGUAGCCGGCCUGAGAGGGUGGACGGUCACACUGGGACUGGGACACGGCCCAGACUCGUACGGGAGGCAGCAGUGGGGAAUAUUGCACAAUGGGCGCAAGCCUGAUGCAGCGACGCCGCGUGAGGGAUGGAGGCCUUCGGGUUGUGAACCUCUUUCGCCAGUGAAGCAGGCCUGCCUCGUUUGUGGGUGGGUUGACGGUAGCUGGAUAAGAAGCGCCGGCUAACUACGUG